rnacentral:lncRNA from 1 species
CCUAGUAUUAUAGGCCUACCCAACAUUUUCUUAAUAAAUUCCAACUUUGCUUCAUAGUGACUCGUCCUGAAAAUCCAUUGUGUGUCUUGAGUGAAGAAGCAGGAAACAGCUGAAUGAGUUCUCAGGAGAUCAUCUCCAUGCUGCCAAGGGGAUCAUGAAGACUGGCUAUAUUCCUGAGAAUCUGACUUUCAGCAAAGCCUCCCAAAGGUCCCAAAUUUAGGACACUUGGAGUAAGAAAAUAUGCUUCCUCAGUUGUGCCUGUAAACAUAUGGAACACAUUGCAAAGUUCUGGAAAGCACACAGAACAUCUCUGUCAGAGUGACAGCUCCAGGCUAGGGUGAGUGUUGCCACCAUGAUAUGAAAACUCAAGCAUUCCAGUGUAUUCAGUAGAUGGUACUUGGAAAUCCCCCAAAUGCCGAGGUCCCUCAGACUUUGAAAGAAUAAGACAGCAGGCUGUCUGUGUGUUUCCGGUUUGACUGGCUUGCAGAACUUGCCACCAUGUUGGUGCUACCAGCAAGAUUUCCA